UGUAGAGAAGAAGAGGGAGGAUGGUGUUAUUUAGGCCAUUAUAUUAGCACUUAUUACACGUUUGUAUCAGAUUUAAUUUUUUUUUUUUUUUUUUAGCAAUGUCUUCAAGAACAGAGAAGAAGCAAUUUGACCUUUAUUUUGGAAAAGGACAGUGGUGGGGGUGUGUGGUCCCUGACAGGUAUCCUUCUAUAUGGUGAUGGAGCAGCCAGACUCUUUCCAUCUUGGGGUACUGCCGUCUUCAGCAUGUGGCUUCCGAGGAUGCCAUCUAAGAAACAGAGAGUGCACUAUGCCAUAGCAUGAAGAAAGUAAUUGCUUGAUUGAAAAAGUACCAAGUUGAGAGAUACUAUUCAAUAAUGUACAAUGUCAUUUUCAACAAUGAAGGCAAGUGAAGUGAAGAUAUAGAUGAUUGUGUUACAUUGAUUUGUAAUCUGGCAUUGAGUAUAAAUGUUAAUAAUUUGAUCAUUCACAAUUAAUAAAUGUGCUUUGAGAUGGUCUAAACA
rnacentral:lncRNA from 12 species